rnacentral:rRNA from 1 species
AUUGAACGCUGGCGGCAGGCCUAACACAUGCAAGUCGAACGAGUGGCGGACGGGUGCGUAAUGUCUGGGAAACUGCCCGAUGGAGGGGGGUAACUACUGGAAACGGUAGCUAAUACCGCAUACCAUCGGAUGUGCCCAGAUGGGAUUAGCUAGUAGGUGGGGUAACGGCUCACCUAGGAGACGAUCCCUCGCUGGUCUGAGAGGAUGACCGGCCAAACUGGAACUGAGACACGGUCCAGACUCCUACGGGAGGCAGCAGUGGGGAAUAGUGCACAAUGGGGGCAAGCCUGAUGCAGCCAUGCCGGGUGUAGGAAGAAGGCCUUCGGUUUGUAAAGUACUUUCAGCGAGGAGGCGUUACUCGCAGAAGAAGCACCGGCUAACUCCGUGCCAGCAGCCGCGGUAAUAC